rnacentral:tRNA from 2 species
GUUGCGGUGGCCGAGUGGUUAAGGCGUUGGACUAGAAAUCCAAUGGGAUCUUCCCGCGCAGGUUCGAAUCCUGCCCGCAACA